GGUGGAAGAACAAAACAGGAGUUGAGAGACACGCAGAGUUAGAUCUGAAUAACUGAAUAACUCCCAGAGGGCAACGCAGUUAAGUUUCGUUUUGUCCGCCAUUACGCCGAUGGUCAUUUGACCUGCAACCGAUCUGGAGAAAGGUCUGCUUGGAAAAUAACAACGUAAGUAAUACAUCAACUGUCUUUUUUACCGCAUAAGUUUUGUUUUGUUCUCAUCGUACAGGAUGCAUGUAAUGUUUGGUUUGUGUUAUUUUCAAAUGUGUGGCUUAACAUUACCAUGCCAGUUGCAAGACGUGCUGAGUCGUGUCACACCUUUUCUAAAAAUGGAAGUUCACAGGUUAUUAAAGCAGAGGGAGGAUGAGUUAAAAUCGGUAGUAUCCCAAAUUCAAGCUCAACGAAGCCGCGCGAUUUAAACAUAUUAUGUAAGUUACGCUAGUCAUUGCUAUAUGCAGCUGCUACAGUAGAUGCUGCUAAGGUAUCACGUUAGCUUGCCAGUCAUUUGACCAAUUCAAGUUUUUGUUCUUAGGAAAAUGUAUAAGUAUAUGUUACACUGUCUUUUGUUGUUUAAUGCACACAUUAGUCGACUGCGGAGAAUUUUGUUUACCAUAGUGUAUCAUUGACUGGUUCGUUAGCAUGAUUUAGCACCACAUGGACUUAACUCUGGAAAGAGUCAACAGAGUUGUGCGCCACACCGAUGCAGUGCAAUUCACGUUUGUGCUUUUAGGAAACUUGGAUGGAGGCAACUGUUAGGGUGAAAUAUAAGGACAGAAAGAAGUACUUCUUCCUAACAUCACCUUUUCAAUUCGAAGUAUUUUUGGAAAGUGAUUCCUUCAGUUCUAGUACGAUUGGCGAUGGUGAGGCUUCAUCAGGAUCUGAUGACACAGCAAUAGUGAUCAGAAAUCCCUCAGAAAAAAGAGACGCAGAGGAUCGUCGUCUGGGUCGAAUGAUUGAGGACAUCCUCAAGAGUAGCCCUGGAGGUGAUAAGAUCACACAUGAGUAUGCUCGCACAAAAACAUUGUCAGAUGUCAGAAGACGUGACCUAGUGAAGAUACUAGUUGCACAUCUGACAAAUGAGCAUGGCACAAGCCCCCCUAGGAGAUUGAAUACGCCAAAGGAAUCAUCUGCCUUUUUCCUUACUUGGCUGACCCCCUGAGCAAGCUUGGCUAUGAACAUUUUUAUAAUGCUGAAGAUGGAAGUGGGUAUUUGGCUUGGAGAAUCAAAACUCUGCAGAAAGAGGUGUCCGAGGGGCGAAUGAAACGGUCACGACAACUUCAAACAGG